AUAUACCUUGAAAACGAAAUCGGUGAGGGGGUUCAUGCGAACUUUGCAAUUUGCCUUGGUUGUUUUUGCCUGUUGUCCAUACCCCUUUUUACAGCCCAUUCAAAAUUAGGACACAUUUUUUCGUCCCAUGAAUUAGCACUUAUCGGACCUAUCGAUAAGAUAUACCAAGAAAUGACUCCAGAAAUAUAGCAAUAAAAAAGACCUUAGCCCACUUAACUCCUUUAUAUUUAAACAGGCGACAACUGGAGCUAAGCCACGAAAAACAAAACCGUUGGUAAAUUCUUCAUCUUUUCUAUUUCCUUACAACAAAAGCAACCAAGAUAUGUUUCAUCGUUUUAAUAUUUUUGUGGAACUAUUUGAAUACCCUGGUCGACUAUGGGAUAAUCGUUCUCUGCCAUGGUCAGAUAUCAUAUUCCAUCAUUCCGAAAAUUCUAUCUGGCCCGAGAUGACAACGGUUAUGAGGUUGGGGUCUGGCAGCUCUACAUGGCGCAUUGCUUUUGAAUUUGAAUCUGUGUUUGCCAUUUGCAAUGAAAUUUGUCAAUUGUUGCAAUUUUUCGAAUUCCAUUGUCUUGCGUGAGGUGUUUCUUUAUUUAUAGAGUUGAUAAAGAUAUUCAAUGCCGGCGCAUUUGAAAUAAUCAACCGGUUUUGCUCUUUCACACUGCCUUAAAGGUUAAUUACACCACAAACUGUAAAUAAAAGCCACACCUGCGCACUGUGGAAUGAAAUGGGAAAUCUGAGCCUGAUUCAAAUGGGUGCAGCGAUCUAUUUAAAAGAAUAAUAUCGGAAUGAGCAUUCAGAGUAGAUUCCAUUUCCAAGUGUGACCUAUGUAGACUCAAAAAUUCAAGGAUCCACCCCACUAAUUUCUGCAAAACACAAUAAUUCACGUUGAAGCCAAGUCCCACUGUGCCUGUGGGCUCAUUUGCAUACAAAAGAGCAAGAGUAGAGUUGACAAACCGCUGGAUCAGGGCAAUAGAGGCAACGUCUUCGUUAUUCUGGGAAAGGCUUAAGCCAUUCAGAGCGAAGUCCGUGAUCUGAUGUGGGUCAGCCCCAAAUCUGAUCCCUGGCGAUCCGGACAAUUGAAAGACAUUUUCCUGGUUGAUUUUGUUCUGUUUGGUUUCAUUGAUAUUUGCCAAAAAGCUUUAUUGUACGAUAAGUAUAAAUAGUUUAGUUUAGUUGUUGUUUUUAGUCAAUGACAAUUGCAAACAUCAUUUGGAUGUUUGCGUAUAUAGUGUAUACAUGCAUAUAUGUAUUUAUGUAAUAUAUUUGCUUGUGUAGAGUAUACGUUGAUAUAUCUAUCCCUAUUUAGCUGCACAUGAAUGCCAAGUUCUGGCGAGUUUUUCAGUUUCAGUUUCGGUUUCAUUUAAUUGCCAUUUCAGACAAUUUCGUUCCGCAUGUUUAUCUAUAAAAAUGUUCUCUCUGUGGGCCAUAAAUUAAUAGAAUACAACAAGGGAAGAGCCCAGUCGCAGUGGCAGUCGCACGCCUCCAAAAGCGAAUUAUUGAUAUAUUCCUUAUGAAUGCCAUACAUUAUAUGAUAAUUAUCGUUAAAAUACUCUUCUUUCUUUCUCUCUGCGGGGGAAACAAUUUUAAAUAUUUUGCCAUGGAGCGCGUUCGCGUUUUGGGGAGGAAUCUCAUUACGUGCAUGCAGACUUGUAUUGUAUGUGUUUUUUUUUUAGUUCAUAAAAUUGUAUCGUAAAGACUUAGCAUCGAUCUACAGGCUAGAACUUAGCAAUUAGACAUUCGUUGUUGGGUUACACGUUGCAGGGAUUCGAGUUAAAUGGAUAUAUGUAGAGAUAUAUCAGGGCAAAUAAAAAAAAAAAAAUGAUUUUAGGAUCUUAGGCUAGUCAAUAUAUGGGUUACACUUAUAUACAAUAGUCGUUAGUAUCAAAAAUAUGCUCUAGAUAUAAAGUAUUCGCUGCCUUUAUCAGUUCAGUCAUUGGAUAUCAUCAUAAUUUCAAGUUCAAUUCGUUGCUUUGAUCCAAAAUACUUAAAUACAUUUAAAAUAAGACAUAUUUUCUCGUUUAGUAUAUACAAUUAAACAUAUAAACAAUUGAAUUUUACAAAUAUGUGUACAAUACAAAUGGAUAUAUCGCUAUGUGGGGGAAAAUUAACUUUUGGCCUGAACACUUUGGAAGUUCUCUCUUACAUAAUACAUGCCCGCUUACGCUAUUCGAUAGUAUUCGAUAAUUACGCACGUUAGACGCGGCAACUAAAUAUUGUAUGCACAAGUUCAGAAAUAAAUUACAAUUAAAUAAUGGACAAAAAAAUAAAAUUAAAUACAAAAACAAUAAGAAAUAAUAAUUGUACUGCUUUUAGUUUCUGUGUGUUUCAGGGAUUAAAACAUAAAAAUACAAGAGGGGAGGGAGGGGUGAAUACAUUCUGAAUUGGGCGCCUCAAAAGGAUAUAAAUCGAUAUCGAUAGUAGGCCGACUAAAAACACUAACGGAACAAUGCGAUUAUAGAGUGUGUGCGCGUGUGUGAGUGCGUGUAUGAUGGAUGGGCUGAUCAUUGUUUAAUUGAACGCGCUUUCCUUUUUGGCAUCUGCUGCGCCCACAUUUUUUUUCAACCUUUUAACCUUGAUCGAUCAGUAUCGUUGAACUUUUGAUGAUAAAUUUGAUUGUGCGCGCGCGCACGCACUUGUGUGUGUGUCUUUGUACAGAAAAAAAAAAAA